rnacentral:tRNA from 1 species
GGAGAGGUGGCCGAGAGGCUGAUGGCGCCGCUCUCGAAAAGCGGUACCGGGGCAACCCGGUCGUGGGUUCAAAUCCCACCCUCUCCGCCA